rnacentral:rRNA from 1 species
UACAGAGGUCCCAAGCGUUGUUCGGAUUCACUGGGCGUAAAGGGUGCGUAGGUGGUGAGGUAAGUCGGAUGUGAAAUCUCCGAGCUCAACUCGGAAAUGGCAUUGGAAACUACCUUACUCGAGGGUUGGAGGGGGGACUGGAAUGCUUGGUGUAGCAGUGAAAUGCGUAGAUAUCAAGCGGAACACCAGUGGCGAAGGCGAGUCCCUGGACAACUCCUGACACUGAGGCACGAAAGCUAGGGGAGCAAACAGG